AAUGGGUCAGCGACUUAUAUUCUGUAGCAAGGUUAACCGAAUAGGGGAGCCGAAGGGAAACCGAGUCUUAACUGGGCGUUAAGUUGCAGGGUAUAGACCCGAAACCCGGUGAUCUAGCCAUGGGCAGGUUGAAGGUUGGGUAACACUAACUGGAGGACCGAACCGACUAAUGUUGAAAAAUUAGCGGAUGACUUGUGGCUGGGGGUGAAAGGCCAAUCAAACCGGGAGAUAGCUGGUUCUCCCCGAAAGCUAUUUAGGUAGCGCCUCGUGAAUUCAUCUCCGGGGGUAGAGCACUGUUUCGGCAAGGGGGUCAUCCCGACUUACCAACCCGAUGCAAACUGCGAAUACCGGAGAAUGUUAUCACGGGAGACACACGGCGGGUGCUAACGUCCGUCGUGAAGAGGGAAACAACCCAGACCGCCAGCUAAGGUCCCAAAGUCAUGGUUAAGUGGGAAACGAUGUGGGAAGGCCCAGACAGCCAGGAUGUUGGCUUAGAAGCAGCCAUCAUUUAAAGAAAGCGUAAUAGCUCACUGGUCGAGUCGGCCUGCGCGGAAGAUGUAACGGGGCUAAACCAUGCACCGAAGCUGCGGCAGCGACACUAUGUGUUGUUGGGUAGGGG
rnacentral:rRNA from 1 species